rnacentral:lncRNA from 1 species
GCCAACUGAAUGGAGUCGACCCCUAGCAUCUAGGAGUCGACUCAUGUGAAGCUUGAGUCGACCCCAGGGAUGAGAGGGUCGACUCGCAUCUGCCACAGUGAAGAAACAGAGAGCAGUUUUUUGGGUUGCCUGCAGGAGUCGACUCCAGCCCUGCAGGAGUCGACUCCAGCUCAGAAAGACAGAGCGUGCCAGUUUCGGAACUGAUACUUGGAGUCGACCCGAGGAUGUCCGAAUCGACUCGAACUUAUUAGGAGUCGACCCCUGAAAGUGAAGAGUCGACUCCUGAUCACGGGAUUGAUUGAAACGAUGGCAAGAUGGGUUUUUUGACUUAGGGUUUUUCGUAGGGAAGUUUCCUUAUGUGUUGAAAACCUAUAAAUAGGAUUUUUUGGUGAACCCUAGGU